GGCGCUUGAGGCUUUUGCCUCAUGACGUGAAGGUGGUUUGUUACCGAGUUGUGUGGCAAAAAGAGAAAAGCCCCGAGUAAUUUUUCAAUUAACCCGAGGCCGAUCUGCAUGCUAGACACAUCUAGAUUAGCCGCUUACUGCGCUCUGCGCAAGGAGAAGAAGGCUAUG
rnacentral:antisense_RNA from 1 species